rnacentral:rRNA from 1 species
UACGGAGGGUGCAAGCGUUAUCCGGAUUCACUGGGUUUAAAGGGUGCGUAGGAGGGCAGGUAAGUCAGUGGUGAAAUCUCCGGGCUUAACCCGGAAACUGCCGUUGAUACUAUUUGUCUUGAAUACCGUGGAGGUGAGCGGAAUAUGUCAUGUAGCGGUGAAAUGCUUAGAUAUGACAUAGAACACCAAUUGCGAAGGCAGCUCACUACACGGUCAUUGACUCUGAGGCACGAAAGCGUGGGGAUCAAAC